AUUGAACGCUGGCGGCAGGCCUAACACAUGCAAGUCGAGCGGAUGAAGGGAGCUUGCUCCUGGAUCCAGCGUCGGACGGGUGAGUAAUGCCUAGGAAUCUGCCUGGUAGUGUGGGAUAACGUCUGGAAACGGGUGAUAAUACGGCAUACGUCCUGAUGGAGAAAGUGGGGGAACGUCGGACUGCUCGCUUGUGUAUAAGUCUAGUUCGGAUUAGCUAGUUGGUGGGGUAAAGGCUUACCAAGGUGAGGAUCCGUAACUGGUCUGACAGGAUGAUCAGUCACACUGGAACUGAGACACGGUCCCGACUCCUACAGGAGGCAACGGCGGGGAAUAUUGGACGAUGGGCGAAAGCCUGAUACAGCCCUGUCGCGUGUAUGCAGAAGCUUUUCCGAUUGUAAAGGACAUAAAGUUGGGAGUAAGGGAAGUAAGUUAAUAACUUGAUGUUUUGACGUUACCAACAGAAUAAGCACCGGCUAACUUCGUG
rnacentral:rRNA from 1 species